rnacentral:rRNA from 1 species
AGUCGAGCGCACUCCUUUGGAGUGAGCGGCAAACGGGUGAGUAACGCGUGGGAAUCUACCCAUCUCUACGGAAUAACACAGAGAAAUUUGUGCUAAUACCGUAUACGUCCCCUCGGGGAGAAAGAUUUAUCGGAGAUGGAUGAGCCCGCGUUGGAUUAGCUAGUUGGUGAGGUAACGGCUCACCAAGGCGACGAUCCAUAGCUGGUCUGAGAGGAUGAUCAGCCACACUGGGACUGAGACACGGCCCAGACUCCUACGGGAGGCAGCAGUGGGGAAUAUUGGACAAUGGGGGCAACCCUGAUCCAGCCAUGCCGCGUGAGUGAUGAAGGCCCUAGGGUUGUAAAGCUCUUUCG